AUCCCACACUCAUUGGGCAANUGGGCCCGACGUAUUCAAUCACGGGCGCCNUGGCCGCGGGAUUCCAGUUGAGUCUGGCUCGANUUGACGCUGGCGGCNUGCCUAUCCNUGCAUGUCACCGGCAGCGCGGGGGCAACCCUGGCGGCGAGCGGCGAACGGGUGAGUANUGCNUCGGAACGUGUCCUCUUGUGGGGGAUACCAGUCGAAAGACUGGGCAANUCCGCAUGAGAUCGAGAGAUGAAAGCAGGGGACCGCAAGGCCUUGCGCGAGAGGAGCGGCCGAUGCCGGAUUAGCUAGUUGGUGGGGUAACGGCNCUCCAAGGCGACGAUCCGUAGCUGGUCUGAGAGGACGACCAGCCACACUGGGACUGAGACACGGCCCAGACUCCUACGGGAGGCAGCAGUGGGGAAUUUUGGACAUGGGGGCAACC
rnacentral:rRNA from 1 species